rnacentral:rRNA from 1 species
GAUGAACGCUGGCGGCGUGCCUAAUACAUGCAAGUCGAGCGAACAGAUGAGGAGCUUGCUCCUCUGACGUUAGCGGCGGACGGGUGAGUAACACGUGGAUAACCUACCUAUAAGACUGGGAUAACUUCGGGAAACCGGAGCUAAUACCGGAUAAUAUAUUGAACCGCAUGGUUCAAUAGUGAAAGACGGUUUUGCUGUCACUUAUAGAUGGAUCCGCGCCGCAUUAGCUAGUUGGUAAGGUAACGGCUUACCAAGGCAACGAUGCGUAGCCGACCUGAGAGGGUGAUCGGCCACACUGGAACUGAGACACGGUCCAGACUCCUACGGGAGGCAGCAGUAGGGAAUCUUCCGCAAUGGGCGAAAGCCUGACGGAGCAACGCCGCGUGAGUGAUGAAGGUCUUCGGAUCGUAAAACUCUGUUAUUAGGGAAGAACAAAUGUGUAAGUAACUAUGCACGUCUUGACGGUUCCUAAUCAGAAAGCCACGGCUAACUACGUG